rnacentral:tRNA from 1 species
GCCGCCGUAGCUCAGCCCGGCUAGAGCGCCGGACUCAUACGGUCCCUGAGAAAUCCGGUUGUCCGGGGUUCAAAUCCCCGCGGCGGCA